UACGUAGGGUGCAAGCGUUGUCCGGAAUUAUUGGGCGUAAAGAGCUCGUAGGCGGCUUGUCGCGUCGGCUGUGAAAACCUGGGGCUCAACCCCGGGCCUGCAGCCGAUACGGGCAAGCUAGAAUUCGGUAGGGGAGACUGGAAUUCCUGGUGUAGCGGUGAAAUGCGCAGAUAUCAGGAGGAACACCGGUGGCGAAGGCGGCAUCCUGGACCGACACUGACGCUGAGGAGCGAAAGCCAGGGGAGCGAACCGG
rnacentral:rRNA from 1 species